rnacentral:rRNA from 1 species
GACGAACGCUGGCGGCGUGCUUAAUACAUGCAAGUCGAACGGAAAGGCCCUGCUUUUGUGGGGUGCUCGAGUGGCGAACGGGUGAGUAACACGUGAGUAACCUGCCCUUGACUUUGGGAUAACUUCAGGAAACUGGGGCUAAUACCGGAUAGGAGCUCCUGCUGCAUGGUGGGGGUUGGUAAGUUUCGGCGGUUGGGGAUGGACUCGCGGCUUAUCAGCUUGUUGGUGGGGUAGUGGCUUACCAAGGCUUUGACGGGUAGCCGGCCUGAGAGGGUGACCGGCCACAUUGGGACUGAGAUACGGCCCAGACUCCUACGGGAGGCAGCAGUGGGGAAUAUUGCACAAUGGGCGGAAGCCUGAUGCAGCAACGCCGCGUGCGGGAUGACGGCCUUCGGGUUGUAAACCGCUUUCGCCUGUGACGAAGCGUGAGUGACGGUAAUGGGUAAAGAAGCACCGGCUAACUACGUG